rnacentral:lncRNA from 1 species
CCAAAUUCUGAAAAGGCCUGCUGCACAAAAUUAAUUCAUCGAUAUCCCGACUAAAUAUUGCACGGAACCCACAGUGCUUCACCCUCAAUCGAUCAGAAGAAAAUGUCACCUUAAGGUGAUUACAUGCUUCCCACAUAUCUAAACAAGUUAGAGAGCUACGUGGCAUGUAGUUGAACCAAAGUUGAUCGGAUGUAAUGUUGCUCGAAUCCUUAGAGAUGUGCACUAUAGAGCUACCUAGAAACAAAUCCUGAUCCUCUGCAAUGCAUGCGUGCAAAUCGCAAAGGAUUGCACUUGUAUCUGUUUGAGACUCUUGAGAUUCAAAGACUAUACUAAUUGCAAAUCCCAUCCACUUGUUAGUCCACCAAAAUGGAGGCAACUGCAGUUUUAAUGAAGAUCCUACUGACUGAUAGUUGAACCAACCAGGAAUUUCAUUUCCAGCUAAACAAAUGGAGAUCUGAGAGCUUGGAUUAAAGAGUCCCUGAAACAAAAUCAUUAUUUGUGAUAUUUACGUUUCUGUAGAGAACUAAAGAUAAAUGUUGGAACAACUAAAAUUUCAUUUGCAAGUGACGAGGAGAGGCAGACCUGAGAGCUGUGCCUUAGAAGGUAGUGCAGAUAACUUGUCAGCCUUCUAAAUGCACUAGUGUCUUCACUUUGAACCUCAAUCAACUUCAAGCAAUUAACAAAUGUCAAUGAUGAAGAAUUUGAUGUCUGAGUUUCUUGUGAAGUUAAACCAUCCACACUUAGAUGUAAAAUACUUGAUGAAAGAUUCGGCGAUAGCUGUAGCCUCUUGCAGUCCUCAACGUGGAGAUUUUCAAGUUUAAAUUGUCUGCUGAUGUUUCUUGGUAGCAAACUUUGCAACACUGUGCAACCAUCCAUACUGAGAUAUAAAAUACUUGAUGGAAGAUUUGGAAAUGCCUGAAGCCUCUUGCAAUCAGCAAAUCGAAAAUCUUCAAGUUUAGUAAGUCUGCUAAUGCUUGAAGGAAUGCUAAAAAAAUCAUUACCACUCAGAUUGAAUGUUUUCAACAUUGGGAAGCAGCUUAGAUCAUUGGGAAGUGCUCCUUCCAUUAGAUUGCAGUAACUUAAAUCCAAUGACUUCAAGGAUCGUAAGACUGAUAGAGAAGGCAAUGUCACAGCCAAUGGAUUUUGAUUCUUCCAUGGCAAAAACCGUGAAGGGAGAAGAAAAUCCCACAGCUUAGCUAAUGGAAGUUGACUUGUAGCAAUUCCACCUACAUUGAGCUUCUCCAGAUUUGUAAUAUCACCCAACCUUUCUGGCAAUUUCUCAAGUUUUGAGCAGCCUUGCAAAUUAAGAAACUUAAGGGACUUAAGAUCACAUAUGCUAUCUGGAAGCCUUACAAGGCUUCUGCAGUCCUUCAAGUUCAAUGAAACCAGCCUAUUCAGAAUUCCAAGGGAUUGAUGAACCUCAAAAAGUCUUGUGCAACCUUCAAGAUUCAAGCUUUCAAGAUUCGGGACAUCCUUGAAGUCCAUGGUCUUGAGUAAAUUGACUGAGUAACUAAGAUCAAUGACCUUCAGCAUCUUUAGAGGCUGUAAAAACAUGUCAAUAAAAGAAAGAAGCUCUAAAAGUUAGCAUCAAUAACCUAAUAUAAUUAUGAAUUUCAAGUACUAAUGUAAGUUAAAAGAAAAAGAAAACAUACUUUGAUUCCUUUCCACAAUCUUUCCAUGAUACUACAGCGCAUAUGAAGCUCAGUAAGUUCAUCUGGCUGGAAACUGGAAGGCAAAAAUUUGAAAGGAUAUCUAUCCCAUUCCAGAUAUCUUAACUUAUUUGAAAGAUACUCAAGGCCCUGUGAUAGAUGCAAAUUUCGAAGUUUGAGCAGCCUUAGCCUUUUCAUCCCCAUGAAGCCUUUAGCACUCAAUUGUUCAUCUUCUUGUUCACAUGAAUCAAGAACUAUGGCUUCAAUUUGUUCUGUUCCCUGAAAAUUGAACAUCAUGAUAGUGAGCAUAUGAAGGAAUAGUAAUUAGGAGCCUUAAAUAGAUUGAAGAUCAACAAGAGUAAGUCAUUUACCGUAUCAUUUGAUAGAACAUGACGUAUAUCCUUAUAAAGCCAUAAUCUACUUCUUUUUCCUGGUUCUUCCUGUGAUUCUCGCCGAACAAUAUCUCGACCCAAUUCUUGAAGUAAAUCAUGCAUCCAUAUUCUCUCUUUUGAAAUGGUUAUGAGAGAUUUACUAACCAGAACACUUAUGCCAAAGUCCGGAUACAAGCCGCAACUAUCCAAUACUUCAUACACAUAAUCUCUAUCCUCUCCAUUGAAAAAACAAGCAAUAUCAAGGAAUAGUUUCUUCUCCAUUUCCUCCAAUCCAUCAAAACUUAUAUUAAGCUUAUCCAAAAUUUCUUGAUUUGGAAUUUCUUUCAAUCUAUCCAGUGCACUUCUCCACUCACUUAGAGAUUUACCAAACAAAAAGGAACCAAAAACAUCAAGAGCUAAUGGAAGCCCAUUGCAGUAAUUCACAAACUGAUUGGAGAGCUCCAAAAAAUCCUCUAUUGGAUGAUCAUUUCUAAAGGCUUUCAGACAAAAGAGAUGAAGGGCUUCAUCACGACCUAAUCCUUCAACUCUGUAAAUUUUAUCUACUCCAUGGCAUUUCAAUAAAUGUUCAUCUCUACUUGUGACAAUUAUCCUGCUUCCCUUCCCAAACCAAUCAUGCAUACCAGCUAACAUUUUUAAUUGGUCUAAUUGAUUCACGUCAUCAAGAAUGAUAAGAACUCUUUUGUGAGCAAGCCUAUUGCUGAUCUCAGUCAUACCACCAAACGCAUUGCAAAUAGUUAUGUUCCUAUCCAGUAGAAUUUCAGAAAGAAGUUGCUUUUGCAAAUGAACUAAACCUCUCUUCUCCUCAACUUCUCUAACAUUUGCUAAGAAGCUGCUACCUUCAAAUUGAGAAGAUAGUUCCUCAUGGACGAAUCUAGCAAUAGUCGUCUUACCUAUGCCGCCCAUCCCACAAAUCCCAAUAAAUUGAACGUCAUCCAAUUGCCCCAUAUCUAAACACAUACUCAUUUCAACCAACCGCGAAUUCAUUCCUACAAAAUUCUUAGCUGCACUUGAUUCCAAACUGGUUUUUCUCAAUUUGCUUAGAACCUCUUUAACAAUUUCCUGAAUAAGCUCUGACUCAUGCCUGCAAAGCAACAAUUACUAGUAUGGUCACAUAACGAACGAUAUUUUAGAAUAUGCAAAUAAUCUUGUUCCUUUUUAUGUGUUGCACAGAAUCAUUGAUGCUCUUAUAAUCAAGAGUGUAGCUUUGGAAGUUAAUGAAAUCAACAAAUAUUACAUCUUUAACUAUUAUAUGAUGAAACCAUGUUCAGUACAAUUACAAUUAGCUAAGAUUAACAAAAAUAUGUUAAUUAGAGAACUGGAGUAACCUCAAAUGAAUAUCGUAUAAAUUGAAUGCUAAGAUCAAAGGCAAAACAACGUCUAUAUAAACCCAAAAAGAAAAGAAGUCACAAAUCCCAAGACCCGUAGGAACCCACUAACCUUACACGAGAAGAUGACUUCCGAUUAUGGAAAAAAAGCUGUAAUCUUUUCGAUGGGUUUUUUUUUGUGAUUGAAGGCUGGUCCUCUUCUUCUUAUAUAUUGUUUUCUUAGUUUGAUUUUUGUAGAUUAGAAAUUUCUUCACCAUUAACUUUCUAAUGAAUCUUCACCCGGAGUGGUGGUGGUGGCCGUUUCCUUACAACUUCACCACAACUUCCCACUGAAGUCGUCGCCUCGUCGGUGGUGAAUUGAUGAAUGGUCUUCUUCAGACCAAAACCAAAAUAAAAUUUUAAAGGUAAAAGACUAUUUGUUUAAAGUGGUGGAAUCUUUAAUUUGAUAAAACUGAGUAAUAAUAAUCAUAAUCCCCCUUCCGAUUUUUCCUUACGGGAUGCAUUUCAUGACAAAAGGUAAAGAAAGUCAAUUUAUGUACAUCACAGAGCGUUAUACAUUUUAGCAUUAAAUUGUUAAUAAUAAUAUUUAAUUAUUUAAAAUUAAUAAAUAUAUUUUUAUAUAAAUAAAGAUUUAAAAAAAAUGGAAAUGAUAAGAGGGCUAACUAAUUGGUGCCUUGAUUAUAAAAAAUCUAUCAUUAUUGAGAUUAAUGAAACAAAUUAUACCUAACUAAUAUAGAUUAAAAUUUAAAAUGCUCUAAUAGUCUUACUUCAAGAUAUGCACCAGCAUUGAUAGCUAUAUCCAGAAAUUUAGUAAUUAAAGUUAAUAAUGACAAGAAAUAAUGUAGUCGUAUAUAUUAUGGGCAAAUUGUGAGAUGGAUGUGACAAGAUGAUUGUGAUGUUAAGGUGAUGGUUGGCGUUUGGAAUGGUAAUGGUGGUUGUAGUUAGACAAUUCCAGAGACUUGUCAUUUGCUUCCAAAAGUACAUUAUCAGAACGCGUAGCAGCCAUUAUCUCUUUUCUUUUUUCUUUCUCUAUUUUCUUGAAAUGUGUUAAUAUAAAAUACUGAAACCAUGUGUUACUUACUACACUAUUUUAUGAUAGAUAAGUCUUGGAGAAAAGUAAAUUAUUCCUGAUAAGAUUUUAACAGACUCUUAACCUGCUUUCUUUUGAUAUUAAGAAAUAGAAAAGGUGAAUCCUUGACAAAUUUGUCUAUCAAGAAUAUAUAUUUUAUGAUAUCAGCAACGAAGUUAAAAAGAAAGAUCAUUUUACCUAUCUAGUGAAUCCCAGCCAGCAAGAUUGGCCAAUUCAGAAAUGGCAGCUCUCCAUCGUUGAACUUUCUGAACAUCAUUCUUGAAACGCAGUUCAUGCUUAGCAAAUGCUUUUCCAAAUCCUGCAGCCUGUUUCCUCACCUCAUAAGGAUUCACAUUACAGAAGACGGGCAUUACAAUCUGCCCUUUCUCUUUCCUGCAUUUAUGGAUCUCUGCAAGUUCAUCCAAGCACCAAGACGAAGAAGCAUAGUCUCUUGAGAAAACGAUCACUGCAAUUUUCGAACCAUGGAUUGCUUGGAGCAGCGCUUGAGAAAUGGUUUUCCCUCUCUCGAGUUCUUCAUCAUCUCUGAAAGUGAUAACCCCUUUUUGACACAGCGCGGCAUAAAGGUGGCUGGUAAAGUUCUUUCGGGUAUCUUCCCCUCUGAAACUCAGGAAUACGUCAUAUUUCCAUGAAUGAAUAGCAGCAGAAGAAGCCAUAUAUAGAAAUCAGAAUCCAAUCUAAUAGAGCAGCAAAAAACAGUAUAUAGGAAGGCGGGGAGAGUUAAGCAGAGGUAUUGCAUGGCUGCUGAGGCAACAUUAAUUACUUAUAUAUAUAUGAGUGAGAGAUCCUACCUAACGCGUCUGUGAAGAAAAGAUCAACAGUGUAAACAAAAAUACUUCCAAAGUCUCAGUUUGGACAAGCAGUGGCUUCCUUUCGAGAUUCCAAGUCUUUUUUGGCUAACUAACGAAUAACUUCAUUUUAACAUUCCGUACCUCACUCGGACUCGGACACAUAAAAGCGGUAUGAAUUUCAUGAAGACUAGCUACCAUUCUACUGCUAUUUUCACACUGUCAUAUAUCAAUACAUUUGAUCAUUUAUUUUGAUUUAAAGUUGUUGAGAAUUAGAGGUUCAAGUAUCACUUAAUUGAUGAUUAUAUUCAUAUUCGGUUACAAUGCAAUGCAAGAUAGAAUUGAAUAAAAUUUUAAAUCUCGUGCAUGUAAUUGAUAAAAUAAACACUCAGUCAAACUAAGUUAUUAUAAUUAUCAAAUUCUAUUAUAAAUUCUGCUGCAAUCAACAAUGGCGUGCGUUACAGAAAAAAGAAAAAAGAAUUGUAUGCAUAUAGCGACAGAAGAAAAAAAACUAUUUAGGAACAUCCAUUAGCUGUCACUAAAACGAUCACCAAUGCUAUUGAAAACGUCAAGAGUUUUGUAGCUAAUUUUGCUGCCAUGGGCUCCUUGGUUUAACAGAAAAUAAAUUAAAUUUAUUUGUCAAGAACUGAUCAUUACAUAAUGAAUAUUUAUGUCACAAAGUUAUUUGUUUAGGUUUACUGUUCAUAAUCUUUAGUUGACAAUCCUGACAGUCAAAUUUCUUUGACCUUGCCUUUACUACUCUUGUCUUCUGUUCUUUGGUAGCAGUAGCCUUUGAUUGAAAUUAUAUAUAGUAUGAUCAGUCAUGAACAGAAGAAUUUGGAGUACAAAAUGGAAUAGAAUAGUCAUGUAUAAAAGGAUUUGUAGUAGCAAGUCAUUUUCCACAAGUAAGUAUUAGCGGUAGGCUAAUGACAGUGAAUGAGUGCAUCUUAAGUUAUUAAAAAGCAUCUAUAAGUGGCACGUUUUUGUCACCAUCAAACCAUCCAAUAUGUAGACCAUAACCGGUACUAGAGAAUGGAUAAACCUAUCGAAUCAACUUGUUUCCUUUGAAUUAACCUUUUCUUUUAGUUGUAAUUGGGGAUCUAAUUUAGCAUGUGAGUUGCAAUUAAUGUUGUGAGUCAAUUAUUUAAUUAUUUGUCAGCAAUACAUAUACCAAAAAGUUUAUCCAUCACAACCCAAUAAAAUCUAUUAAACCAAAACAUCAAUGACAGAGUCAACCGGGGGAGCCUUGGGGAUAAAAGUUUAGUUUUAUCUUUACAAUUAUUUUAUUUUUUUGAAGGAAGAAAACUCAAGUUCUGUAGCUUCCCUUUAUAAAUAUCAACUUUAAGCAACUUGUAAUAUAAAAUUACAAGUUGCUUACAAAUACAAAUGAUGGACUAUUAAACGUCAACUUUAAGGUUUUGGGUAGUUGUCAAGGUCGAGCACAUUUUCGUGGCAGGGACUCUGAAAAAUCCGUCUCCGGGUAUAGGAAACAUAUAUUGAAUCAUUCCACGUCUUUUUCAUGGAUUUUUAUGACUAGACUUUUCUUAUAUAUUAUUCUAGUUUAAUUACUUGGAGGAAAAAAAAAAAAAGUUACAAGUGUUGUUUCUUUCUUUUAACCACGCAAGUCUACAGACUAGUUAUGGAGUUUAUGUGUUCCACAAAAAUAAAAACAACUGCAUUUCAAAUGCCAGAGAAUAAUGAAAUCAUAAAUUUUAUUCACAGCAGCCCUUGCCCAGUACUUCAUAAAGUCCAGUACAUAUGCACUACAUUCUAGAAGAAGUGUCCUCUUGAAGGCUUUGGCCCGUGAGUUUUAGCUCUCAGGAUCCUCUGUCAUUCUCAUUCUCUUGUAAGACAAUUUAUUUACCAGGUUGCGACUUUCACCAGGUUCCACUCCACUUCCAGAACAAAAAUCGUCAUGGUUUCUCUUGCCUCUAUCAACAUUAACAAUAUUGGGGAGACCCAAAUUCUGAAAAGGCCUGCUGCACAAAACUAAUUCAUCGAUAUCCCGACUAAAUAUUGCACGGAACCCAGAGUACUUCACCCUCAGUUGGUCAGAAGAAAAUGUCACCUUGAGGUGAUUACAUGCUUCCCACAUAUCUAAACAGGUUAAACAGCUACGUGGCAUGUAGUUGAUGCAAAGUUGAUCAGAUGUAAUAUUGCUCGAAUCCUUACAGAUUUGCAACUAGAAACAAAUCCUGAUCCUCUGCAAUGCAUGCGUGCAAAUCGCAGAAGAUUGUACUUGUAUCUGAUCGAGACUCUUGAGAUUCAAAGACUAUACAAAAUGCAAAUCCCAUUCACUUGUUAGUCCACCAAAAUGGAGGCAACUGCAGUUUUAAUGAAGAUCCUACUGACUGAUAGUUGAACCAACCAGGAAUUUCAUUUCCAGCUAAACACGUGGAGAUCUGAGAGCUUGGAUUAAAGAGUCCCUGCAACAAAGUCAUUAUUUGUGAUAUUUAAGUUUCUUUAGGGAAGUAAAAGACAAAUGUUGGAACAACUAAAAAUAUCAUUUGCAAGUGGCGAGGCGAGGCAGACCUGAGAGCUGUGCCUUAGCAAGUAGUGCAGAUAACUUGUCAGCCUUCUAAAUGCACUAGUGUCUCCGCUUUGAACCUCAAUCAACUUCAAGCAAUUUAGAAAUGUCAUGAUGAAGAUUUUGAUGUGUAUAAUUGUGACAUAGUGUCAUAAAAAUCAGUAAAAUAGAACUAAUCCUUCUUUGCUUCCCAGACUUUCAUGCUUUUCUAUCAUAAAUUGGUGGCACCAAACAAUUGGUAGUCAGCACGAAUGAUGCAGCUUUCAAAAUCCUUCCUUAUUUAAUGACCAAAAAUCUGAUAUGAGACUGGCUAUUCAAGC